rnacentral:rRNA from 1 species
CGGAACGGGUGAGUAAUGCGUGACCAACCUGCCCCAUGCUCCAGAAUAGCUCUUGGAAACGGGUGGUAAUGCUGGAUGCUCCAACUUGACGCAUGUCUUGUUGGGAAAGUGUUUAGUGGCAUGGGAUGGGGGUCGCGUCCUAUCAGCUUGUAGGCGGGGUAAUGGCCCACCUAGGCUUCGACGGGUAGCCGGCCUGAGAGGGCGGACGGCCACAUUGGGACUGAGAUACGGCCCAGACUCCUACGGGAGGCAGCAGGG